UUCCUAGACCUUCAUUUCUGAAAAAUACAGAAGAGCAAAAUGACGCAUAAGAGCUUCUGCUGCUUCUUCUUUCAUUUUCUCAAAGACCACACAAAAAGAACCCAGCAACUCUUUAAUGAUGGAAACACCUUAACAACCUUUUUUCUUCUUCACUUGGCAGCCAUUUUCAGGCUCUCCGUCUUCAUAAAAUAAGACCCAAAUCAAAAAAAUCCCAUCUAUAAAAGAAAAGAAAAAAAUCAGAAAAACCUCCUCCUUCUCACGCAAGAAGGCAGCCAAGAAUCCACUUAUCUCCACACGCACGAAUACAUCGCUCCCUCUAAUCUCAUUCACACACAAUUUGCAUACUAGAAGCAUAUAAAUCCGAAAUCAAAUUCAGAUAUGAGAUUUGUAAAAGGACUCCAAAAUCACGAAAUAAAAAAACAGAAAUAAAAAGGAGGUUUCAGAGUUUUACGGAGUUGUAGAGUUUGAUUCGAAGCUUGGAAGCACCGUGGAAAUCGUUGUUGUCUGUUGCUGCUUUAGGCCAAGUAUGUUCUGAAUAAGACUAAAGUUUCUUUUCUGUUUGUGCAUCAAAUUGAAGGUCAGUUUUUUUUACUCUGAUUAUAUUAAGCUUUGUUAAAGUUAAGUCUAGACCACAAACCGUUGGUUUUAAAUCUAGAAUAACGCUACCUCAUGUCGGAUCCCUAGUAGUAACGAUUAUUUGCAUCAAGUACAUUUGACCUUAGGGACUCAACAUUAGGGUUGGGUUUGUCUAGGACAUGUGUACCCGAAUUAAAAAGAUCAUCCUGAUGCAUCUUACGUGCUACUUGCGCAUCUGUUUGUUUCGGCUUGCAUGUUGAUAGGCUUUUAGAAUAGGGAAAAAAAAGAAAGAAAAAAGAGACGUAUGUAUUUAGAAUAUUCUAAAACUUUGUCGAAAUGCUGAAAAAAAUGAAAAGUCAUUUCAAAAUGAGUCAAAAUUUCAAGUGCCAUGUUCCCCUAUUCCGUCUAAACUGACGGAACUACGCGGGUCUGAUUCUCACCGGAUAUGAGAUACGUAAGCAAACCUCAUUGGUUAUGAUCCCAAUUUUAAAAAAAUCAAAAAUAUUUUCCUGUAGUUCCCUUUUCGAAGUCUUUUCUUAGAAAAUAAAAAAAGACAAGAAGGAGUUUUUAAAACUCAAUAAUGGUUUCCUUCUUUCUAAUAUCUUUCAUACGAAUAAAGAAAAAUUAAUAAAAAUCAAAAUCCAAAAAUAUGGGUUUCCUUCAUUUUGAAGUAUUUUUCCAAAAAUAAUCCAAACAAAAAGCCAAAAAUACUUUUUUUCUUUUUCUUCUUUACAAGUCUUUUUUUUGUAAAUGUCCAUAAAAUUUUUUUAAAAAUUAAAGUCCAAAUAUAUUUUCGAUAUUCUUUAGAAGUGCUUUUGUAAAUAAAUAAAAACUCAGAAAUCAAAAAAUAUUUUCUUGAUAGUUACUCUUUCAAAAAUUAAUAGGAAACUUUCAAAAUUUAAAAAUAUUUUCUUUCUUCCUUAUAAAAAGAGAAAACAAAUGACAUUCAAACAAAAAUAUGUUCUUUUCACUUUUAAAAAUUUCCAAAGUUUAAAUCAAAAGAAAAGGAAUAUUUAAAAGUCUUUCUUUCAAAAAAUAAAACAAAAAUCAAAAUCAAAAAUAAAAAAAUUCCUUUCUUCUUUUAAAACAUUUCUUUCACAAAUUCACCAAAAAGGGUUAGUUUAUUUACUCCAUUUUUUAUCGUUCCGAACUAUGCUAUGAUUCGUGCGGCGUCAUGAUACGUGAAUCCCCAUCGGAUUCGAUCAUAGCCAUAAAUAAAUUAAGUGAAGACUAAAUUGAAAGGAAAAAAAAGAGAGAAUUAAAAAGUUUUGAGUGAAAAAGAAAGAAAAAUAGUGAAAAAAAGAGCGAUAAGAAAUAAAAAAAGUGACAAACAAAAACAGAGUGCCAAAAAAUUAUAGAGCGGCAAAAUAAAACAAAAAUAAGAGUGAUUAGAGAGAAACAAAGAUGAAGAAAAGAGGUCCAUACUGAAAGAGUUAGUUAAGGCCGGGAUGAAACAUGCAUCCGUUCAAACACAUGGUUGAAACAUUUAACUGUUAGGUGCAUUGCAUCCCAAUGUGCGAUUUCCUAUAUGUUAAAUGUUUCAAUACUAACAAGGUUAUUGGGUGUGAAAAUAGUCAGGUUUUGGUGGUCGGUUUUGUUCGUAGUCUGGCCUCCCCUCCUUCACAAAAUCCAAAAGCACAGAUGGACUCCGCAAGUAAUCUACCAGUUAUCGAUCCUGAGGAUAGCCCCGCAUCGGCUAUUCUACAGCUAGAAUCAGCAGUUAUUGAAGAGAAUAGAUGUUGUGUCUCUGCAUAUCGAAAAUGUGGGACGCCUGAUCUAAUCGUAGGGAAUAGCCAAGUGCAAUCCCUGAGUUCUCUGAAUUGAUCCCCAGGUCAGGUGAGGUUACCAAUGCCCUUGUGCCAAAUUCGCUCAUCCUAUGCGGGCACCCUCCAAUGCCCUCCAAUGAUCCUAGCAUGCCUUCUGUGGUUCACCCCCAGGCACCGACUUCAAGGGAACUGCCCCCAAUGUUCAUUUUUCAAGGUCCACAACUUCAACCAGAAAUAACAUAUGUGACCCGGUACUCCUUCACUCAACCUUCGCAAUAUGAUCUCUUGGGGAAGCAACAAAAGGUUGUUAAAAAUCUCGAGCAGGGGGAAAUGGCUCGAAAGAUGGAGAGCCUGGAACAAAGCCUGAAAAACUUGCAAGGUUUGAGUGGCCAAAAGAGUGUCUCUUGCUCUGGCCUCUGUAUGUUUCCCCAUGUCCACUUUCCAGCUGGCUUCAAGAUGCUAAAAUUUGAAAAGUACAAUGGGCAUGGUGACCCGGUCGUUCAUCUGAAACAAUAUUGUAACUAGUUGAAGGGUGUUGGUGGAAAAUAGGAGCUGCUAAUGGCCUAUUUUGGGGAAAGCCUCAUUAGAAUCGUUUCUGAGUGGUAUACAGAUAAAGAAAUUACUCAUUGUCACGUGUGGGACAAUAUAGCUCGAGAUUCUGUCCGCCAGUUUAAUAUAAUUUGGACAUUGCUCCUGAUAGAAACUCCUUGUCCAAUUUGAAAAAUAAAACUGCGGAAAGCUUCCGCGAAUAUGUUGUAAAAUGGCGUGAGCAAGCUGUCAGGGUAAAGCCUCCAAUAGAUGAAGUUGAAAUGGUCACUGUCUUUCUGCAGGUCCAAGAGGCUGAUUAUGUCCAAAACAUGAUGUCUGCUGUGGGUAAGCCAUUUGCUGAGGCUAUCAAAAUCGGGGAAAUGGUUGAAAACGGUUUAAAAAUAGGUUAGAUCUUGAGUCAUGCUGCUUUUAAAGCCACAUCACAAGCUACUCAAAAUGGUUUGGAGGGCUUGAUAAACGGAAAUAGGAGUGAAGAGGGAGUCAUGAUGGUUUCAAGCUCGAGGGGGCCCGAGUCAUAUGUGCCUCAUGUGAUCCAUCAACAUUAUUACCCCCUCCCAGAUGCUGCUUAUGCCAUGGCACCGCCUCCCUAUUCGGUGAUGAGCGCGCAAUCUUACACACAGCCACAACAUUAUACAUAAAACUAAGCUUCACUUCCCAGAAAUGCCCAUCAUUACCAAGCUCCAUAUAAUCCUCAGCCAAAUGACCCCCAAUACAAUCCUCUCCCAAGAGAGCCUUUUAGAAAGAAUCAAUUCACCCUUAUUGGUGAAUCACGUUCAAGCUUGUUCCAAAAGCUAAUCAGGCUAAAUCUAUUGUAGCUAGUGGCCCCGAAUCGGUCGAACCCCGAUUCCCCCUCGCACCGAGAUGAUGUUAUAUGUGAAUACCACUCUGGAGCAGUGGGACACAGUACAAAGGACCGUUAUACCCUCAAAAGGGCAAUUGAAGAUUUGAUUGAAGCUGAAAGAAUUAUUUUUCAAGAUGAAGAAGCUCUUGAUGUGACGAACAAUCUGUUGCCUACAUACAAAAACGGGCCAAUAUUUGGAAUAAUUUGUGCAGAUGAGGAACUUGAUCCGACACUGGAGGCCAUUGCAGCCAUUGUCGAGACAGAAGAAAAGCAAAAAAUGAUCACCAAGCAUGAAAGUUCCCCAUCAGAUGGGAGUCUCGGUAGCUAGUCUUGCUAUCCUUUCUGCAUCCGGACUAUCUCAGGGUGUGACCCAGAUGUUUAACUUUAUUGUCUUUCUUUCCGAUGUUAACCCUUCUAUCUUUUGCAAUUAAAAAAAUCAAAAUUUCAUUAUCCAGGAAUGUCUCUUUCCUUAAUCUUGUCAUUUUUCUUAUUCUCUUUUUAGUUCUGUUAAAUGGAGAUUUCAAUAACAUGACAUGCUUGCGGACUUCAUGCCCAGAUCCCAAAUGCUAUCAGACUUCGAAGUAAUGAAUCAAGAGUCAGAAUGCAAAGAAGAGAAGUUUGAGGAAAUAAAAUAAAGAGUUGGAACAACUGGGGAAAAUUGGAACCCGGAUUGGAAAGGUCCAUACAUUGCAACAAGAGUACUGUCAAAAGAGUGUGUUGUACUUGGGACAUAUCGAAGGAAAUGUCUCUGAAACAACUGUCAAUGCAAAUGCAAGAGAAAGGUACUAUGUUGGAUUCUCUAUAUAACAUAAAUAUUCUACGGUUGGGAUGACGAACGCUUUUAUUCUCACUACCCAAACGCUAUCAAUCAUUUGCAAAUCCUUUGAGCCGGUUACUCUUCUUUGAUUACCCUAAUUGAAAAGUGUUAUUAAAAAAAUUGAAAAAAAUGAAAAAAAAGAAGAAAAAGAAAUGAAAAAUGAAAAAAAUAGGAAAAAAGGAAAGGAAAAAGAAAGAGAAAACAAAACAAAACAAAAACAGAAAAAAAUAAAAGAAAGAUCAAAAACAAAAUGUUCCCUGAACUACAUUCGACUUGAUUCCGAAAGGAUACAUAGACAUCCUCACUUUAAGGUUCAGUCACACCAAAAUAAAAAUCCAAGGUCCCCCCGAAAGUGAAACUAGGGCAAAAGUUAUAAUGGUUCGGCGUCGGUUCGCUAGAAAGGUUCCAAAGUUUUAAAUCCAUCCAAUCUCUUUUUACCCCGAAUCAUGUUCAAGUCCUUCCGAUCAAUCGAUGAAAAUGAUUCAAGGAUCGGAGAAUGCAGCUACUUGGAUCAAAUGCAGUCAAAAUGAGAGAAAUAAAAUAAGAGAGUCUUAUUGGUGAAAACUCACACGGCACCGUAAGGCGAUGGUAAGCAGAGAAAAACCAAAAUGAGAGAGUCUUGUUAGUGAAAACCCACACGACAUUAUAAGGCGAUGGUGAAUAGAGAAUGAGAUAGGUCAGCUAGUGAAAACUUGCAAAGGGCCCCAUUGAUCGAAAAGAAGAUCCUCAUAGCUCAUCGGUAUCAAUAGAGUCCUCGCAAGGUUUCUCGAUUUUUGAGGCAAAAUUUGUGAUGAAUUUCUAAGAGUCGGACGGUUUACACAGAUCAGACAUCCAGUCCAAAAAUUAUGUGAUGUUUAUUGAAGUCUGCAUGCACUCUAGAUAAGUCCUUCUUUAUUAACCCUGAAAGGGAUACCUCUCGUUUAAAUUCAUUAUCCUAUCCAUUAUUUAUUUUUCUUUGUAUCCCUUUCGGUCUAAUUUUAUUACGGAACUGAGACAAAUAAAGGAUGGAAAGACUGAUUUACAAGGCUUUUGUUUGAUACAAGCCAAUGUGCAAAAAAAGCACACAGCCUCAGCAGGUGCAUCAAGUCGACCUCGACUAGCCAUGGCGGCCAAUACUUCGAGAUCAAAACUCUUGGAAGGAGAAAACAAAAUUGCAGCGCCUAUAAAGGCAAAUGAAGUUGAAAAGGUCAAGUCACACGUGGCUAACCGUCUCGACAAGAUUUGAAAAGGCAAAGGAUCCCAAAUGCUUUGAAGCUAAAGUUGGACGAAAAAAGCCAGAAAUAAAAGGCCUAUGAAGGCGAAAUAAAGUUGAAUAAUGUUAAGUCCUCGUGACUAGCCGUUGCGACAAAGUUUGAGGAGCCAAUAGUUCCCCAAUGCUCCAAAGUUCAAGAAAAAAAAAGAUAAAAAAAGAGAAAAGGCAAAAAUUCGGUAGGGAAAGGCCUACAAAGGCGAAAUAAAGUUGAAAGCUGAAGUCCCACAUGACCAACCGUCAUGGCAAAGUUUGGAAAAAACAAGAAGUUCUCCAAUGCUUGAAAUUAAAUCGGUCCUCAUGGAACAAGCAGUUGCAGUUGAGAUCUUCUUCUAAGAAGCCGGGCCGAGAUCAAGUGAUCAGAAGCAAUGAAGGCCAUAAACCAACCACCGUUUCAAACUAAUAAUUGUUCUUUGUUUGAAAGUUGAAACAGGUGUAAUCCAAAGCAACCAUGCAAGAAGCCGGUGCAACCAAAAAGAAAAAUGUGCAAGAGCUAGAAACAGCUCUGCAUCAAUAAUCAAUCCAAAAGGGAAGUCUCCUUCAAAUUCUUUCUUGCAUUUUUACUCAUUAUUUUAAACUAAAAAAAUGAAGAAUGAUGAAAAAAAUUAAAAGUGGAAGAAAAAUUCAAAAUCAUAGUAGCGUAGGGCCUCCAAUCUCUAGCCUUUCCAACAUAUGGACCCAUUCCCUAGUUAUCCCUGGCAUAACCCGAGGACCUUUUUCUUUUCCUCCCGGUAUAACCCGUGGACCUCCCUGGCAUAACCCAGGGGCAUUUUUUCUUUUCUCCCCGACAUAACCCGUGGACCUCCCUGGCAUAACCCAAGGACCUUUGUUUUUAUCCGGCAUAACUCGUGGACCUCUCUGACAUAACCCAAGGACCCUUUUUUUCCUCCCGGCAUAACCCGUGGUCCUUAUCGGCAUAACCCGAGGACCUUUUUGUUUUUUCCCCGGCAUAACCCGUGGACCUCCCUAGCAUAAAUCAGGGACCUUUUUUCUAUUUUUUUAUCCCGGCGUAACCCGUGGACCUCCCAGGCAUAACCCAAGGACCCUUUUUCUUUCCUCCCGGGUAUAAUCUGUGGACCUUCCCAGCAUUAACCCGAUGACCUUUUUUCAUUUCUCCCGGCAUAAACUGUGGACCUCUCUAGCAUAACCCAAGGACCUUUUCUCCCGACAUAACCCGUGGACCUCCCUGGCAUAACCCAAUGAUCUUUUCUCCCGGCACCAAAGACCCUUUUUCUUUUCUCCCGGCAUAAUCCAUUGACCUCCUUAGCAUAACCCAGGGACCUUUUUUCCUUUCUCUCGGCAUAACCCGCGGACCUCCCUGGCAUAACCAAGGACCUUUUUUCUUUUCUCCCAGCAACCCCCUGGCAUAACCCAAGGACCUUUUCUCCCGGCAUAACCCGUGGACCUCCCUGGCAUAACCCAAUGACCUUUUUUCUUUUCUCCUGGCAUAACCCGUGGACCUCCGUGGAAUAACCUAUGGACCUUUUUCUUUUCUCCUGGCAUAACCCGUGGACCUCCCUUGGCAUAACCCAAGGACCUUUUUUCUUUUCUCCCGCCAUAACCCAUGGACAUCCCUAGCAUAACCCAAGCACCUUUUUUUUUUCCCGGCAUAACCCGUGGACCUCCCUGGCAUAACCCAGGGACCUUUUUUCUUUUCUUCCGGCAUAAUCCGUGGACCUCUCCGGCAUAACCUAAGGACUUUUUUCCUUUUCUCCCCGACAUAAACUGAGGACAUUUUUCCUUUUCUCCCGACAUAACCAGUGGACCUCCUUAGCAUAACUCAGGGUCCUUUUUUCUUUUCCCUCGGCAUAACCCGUGGACCUCCCUGGCAUAACCAAGGGACUUUUUUCUUUUCUUCCGGCAUAACCCGAUGACUUUCCCGGCAUAACCCAAGGACCCUUUUUCUUUUUUGGCAUAACCCGGUCAGCUUUCCAGCAUAACCUGUCAAUCCUCCCAAUUUAGGGCUUUACUCCCUAUUUCCAAGGAUACACAAUCUUUAUUUUAUCGUUUUAAAAAAAGAUUAGAUCCUAGUUACAAAUAACUCAUAAAAUUUUCGUAGUGAAAACUGGGGCAGAAAAAUUUUGUUUGUUUGUUUGUUUCGGUGUCUGAGCAUGUUUUACCUCGAGGAACGGGAGUCGAGAUGACCAAAAGAAUAAGUCUCGAUCCAAAAUAAAGAAAAGAAGAAAAAGAACAAAAAAAUAAGUGAACCCAAAGUGUUGAAGUGGAGAAGGAUGGGUAUUGCUCAAGAUAUGAUUGAAGUUAGAAGUUUUGCAUAUCCCACCUUGAUCCAAAACUGAAGAAAGAACCAGCACCUACAACUAACGAGCAUCAAGAUUCAGAUCGGAGUCUGAUACAAGAACUAGCCAAGACUCAAGAUCAAGCUUCAAGAGAUUUACAGAUAGGAAUCUUGUAACUCGUAGUUGAUAGGCUUAGCUAUAUUAGUUUUAUAUUUUCUAUUUUUGGUGUAAUAAAGGAGCUUAGCAAGCAGAAACAUCAACAGUAGUGAAAUCAUAGUUUCUCGGUAGUCCCAGCUACCAAAACUUCCAGAACUACACUGACCUGAUUCUUUUAUAGCCAGGGAUAUGUAGGAAACCUUUGAAGAAAGGUUUGAUCAAGCUCUUUCCAAAAAUGCUUCUCAUGGAGUUUCUUAAACGAGAAAAAAUCGCUCGUAAUUGCUCAUUUUACUUUUGCCCGAAAAUCAUUUGUGUCUCCGAGCAAAUAGGGGCAGUUGUGAGCAUGCGAUUUUUUCCCUGUAUAGAUUGCUCCUACAAAAUCAAAGAAAAUAGAUUUUUUCCAAUUAUUUGCCAUUUUAUAGGAUUUUGUCGGAUUUUUAUUAAUUGUUUGCAUUUUUGUGCAUGUUUGAUAUUAUUUUAAUCAUAAAAAAGAAAAACCAAAAUAUCAUGCAUUGCAUUUAGGAUUUGUUUAUAUAUUUAGAAUUAGCCAGUAAUUAUUUUCUUCAUAAACUUUAAAAAUCACAAGAAAAUACUUCAUUUUUACACUUGCCUUUUAUUUUUAGGUUAUUGAUUUUUCUCUUUAAUUUAGGAUUAAAUAGCUUUUAUAAUUUUUUUAAAUUUGUUAAUUUGUGUAAUUUCACACUUUUUAAGAUAAUCUAAGAUUUUAAUUUCUAGAAUUUUUAAUUAAAGAAAAAAAAGAAAGAGAAAAUAAGGAGUUUAAUUAUUAGGUUUAAAUUCAAGACUUGGGCAAUUUUAAAGCCAAAACCAGCCUAAUCUACCAUACUUGAUACCCUCUUGGCCCAAACUCUUUUAUUUAAAGGACAAAAAUCAAACCAAAAUGACCAACUAUGCUGAGGUAGCCAGGAGAAAUACCUUUGCAAUACUCAUCAUAGUUGUACCCCUUGAUGAAAGCCAGCAACAGGGAGAAUGCAACCUAGAGCCAAUUGAUCCAGGAGGUACUACUGCCACUGUUUCUCUAUGAUAGUUGUAACCUGGAACAUUAGAGGACUAAACAAGUCCUACAAGCAAAGAGAGUUAGUCAAAUUCCNNNNNNNNNNNNNNNNNNNNNNNNNNNNNNNNNNNNNNNNNNNNNNNNNNNNNNNNNNNNNNNNNNNNNNNNNNNNNNNNNNNNNNNNNNNNNNNNNNNNNNNNNNNNNNNNNNNNNNNNNNNNNNNNNNNNNNNNNNNNNNNNNNNNNNNNNNNNNNNNNNNNNNNNNNNNNNNNNNNNNNNNNNNNNNNNNNNNNNNNNNNNNNNNNNNNNNNNNNNNNNNNNNNNNNNNNNNNNNNNNNNNNNNNNNNNNNNNNNNNNNNNNNNNNNNNNNNNNNNNNNNNNNNNNNNNNNNNNNNNNNNNNNNNNNNNNNNNNNNNNNNNNNNNNNNNNNNNNNNNNNNNNNNNNNNNNNNNNNNNNNNNNNNNNNNNNNNNNNNNNNNNNNNNNNNNNNNNNNNNNNNNNNNNNNNNNNNNNNNNNNNNNNNNNNNNNNNNNNNNNNNNNNNNNNNNNNNNNNNNNNNNNNNNNNNNNNNNNNNNNNNNNNNNNNNNNNNNNNNNNNNNNNNNNNNNNNNNNNNNNNNNNNNNNNNNNNNNNNNNNNNNNNNNNNNNNNNNNNUUGAUGAUAGAAUAUAUAGCCAUAUUGACUGAGCUUUUGGUAAUGCUCAGUGGUUCAACUUGUACACAGGAGUGGAAGCAGUUUAUAUGUUGCCUGGGGUUUCAGAUCAUACUCCUUUAUUGAUAGAUACUGACAUUGUCAAAGUUAGAGUUAAAAGACCAUAUAGGCUGCUGCUAACAGUUAUGCAACAAAAUGACUACAAGGAAACAGUUCAAAGAGUGUGGGGUCAAAUUCAAGGACACACUAUGCAUUCUAUUUGGAGCAAACUGAGGAAAAUUGAACAAAAGACCAGAACUAUUCAUCAGGAGCAUUCAUCUGUGGACACAAAGCUGCAACAACUGAGGGAAGAAUGGGAAGGUAUUCAAGAACAAAUAUUGAGGAAGAAGUCAAGAGCAAACUGGAUUCAGUUGGGUGACAGCAACACAAAAUACUUCCAUGCGUAUAUGAAAUCCAGACAAGCCAGGAACAGGGUGAGUAGCAUACUCAAUGACAACCAGAUGAGGAUCACAGACCCACAUCAGAUCCAAGAAGAGUUCAUUCAAUUUUUUCAACAACUUCUGGGCACAGCAGCAGACCAGCUCCCUGGAAUAGAUAUCAAUGUGGCUAGGGAUGGGCCAUGUCUAUCACUGAACCAACAGCAGCAACUCCUAGCUCGAGUAACAAAGGAAGAAAUCAGUCAGAUAGUUCACAAUCUCCCUAAUGAUAACGCUCCUGGGAUAGAUGGAUACCAUGCAGAGUUCUUCAAACAGUUUUGGCCUAUUGUGGGUGAAGAGGUUAUAGAUGCAGUGCAACCGUUUUUUCAAAAUGGGAAGUUGCUGAAAGAAGUUAACUGUACCACUAUUACAUUGAUCCCGAAAGUGAAGAAUCCUAACUAUGUCAAGGAGUACAAACCAAUUGCUUGCUGCUCAACACUAUACAAAGUCAUUCCAAAAAUUCUUACAAACAGGCUGAAAAUAGUGGUGGACUAACUGGUUGGGCAGGCACAGUCAGCCUUCAUUAGAGGAACAUUCUGGACAAUGUCAUUAUGGCCCAUGAAUUGAUUAGAGCUUAUUCCCAGAAGGUUGUUUCCCCCAGAUGCAUAAUCAAAGUGGAUAUCAGGAAAGCCUAUGAUUCUGUCAAAUGGGAAUUUCUGAGAGCAGUACUGCUGGAGUUUGGUGUACCUUACAGAAUGGUCAACUUAAUCAUGGAAUGUGUUUCUACAGCAAGUUUUUCCCUGCUAGUUAAUGGUGGCCUUACCAGCAAGUUUGCAGCAAGGAAGGGGCUAAGACAGGGAGACCCAAUGUCUCCCUAUCUAUUUGUCUUAGUCAUGGAAUACCUCAACAGAACACUGAAGCAGCUGAGUAAGAAUCCAGACUUCAACUUCCAUCCCAAAUGCUCCAAAUUGCAACUAACUCACAUCUAUUUUGCAGACGACCUCCUGAUGUGCUGUAGAGGAGAUGAGACUUCCCUGAGGCUUUUACUGAAAGAGUUUGACAACUUCUCACAGAUGUCUGGGUUGCAAGCCAAUCUGGACAAAAGCUCCUUGUACAUAACUGGGGUAUCACAGGAAACCAAAAAUAGUCUACUGGCAGAAUUCUAGCUUACAGAAGGACAACUCCCAUUCAAACAUCUGGGAGUUCCCUUGUCAACUAGGAAGAUCACAAUUGAACAAUGCUUACCCUUGGUGGACAAGAUAGUGGACAAGGUCAGAUGCUGGUCCUCCAAGACACUGUCCUAUGCUGGAAGACUCCAAUUGAUCAAGAGUGUCCUUUUUGAGAUACAAACAUACUGGGCACAGGUCUUCCUAAUUCCAAAGAAAGUCAGCAAGCUGGUGGAAGGUAUAUGCAGAAAUUACUUAUGGACAGGGAAACAUGAAGCAAGUCACAGGGCACCCAUAGCUUGGGACACAGUCUGCAAGCCAGUGGCAGCAGGUGGCCUGAAUGUUAUAUGCUUUGAAAAGUGGAACAGAGCAGCAUUGUCAAAGCUACUAUGGGCACUAAUGCAAAAAAAAGGACAAACUAUGGAUCAAAUGGAUCCAUUGCCAUUAUAUAAAAAGGAAGGAGGUGACUAACAUGGAAGUACCAAAGCAGGCAAGCUGGUUGGUAAGGAAAAUAUUUGGAUCUAGGGACCGGUGGGCACAUGACUGGGCAGCAAUGCAAUCUUGCUGCCAGAAGGGAAAAUACAACAUCAAAAGUGCAUACAGGUAUUCCAUUCCACAGUCCACCAAAGUACCCUGGAAAAAGCUGGUGAUGGUGCCAGGUAUUCUGCCGAAACAGAAAUUCAUUCUAUGGAUGACAUUGCAUCGACGCUUGGCAACAGUAGACAUGCUAGAAAAAUAGGGUAUACACACGGACCAGGCCUGCUUUUUAUGUGACAGUGGCAACACAGAGACACAUGAUCACCUUUUCUUUGAAUGUCCUUACUCACAAUCACUGUGGCAAGGAUUACUAAGGUGGCUGAACUGCAAUAGAAUGUUACACAACUGGAAGCAUGAAGUCCAAUGGCUAUCUGACAGAGUAAAUAAUAGGAACCCAAGGAAAUCCAUACUAGGAGUGGUAUUCGCCGCAGUUAUAUAUAAUAUCUGGAUGGGAAGGAAUGAAAGACGAUUCAAACAAUCGAGCAUGGAUGCUAAGAUUAGAGCACGACUGAUUGCACAGCAAGUGCACAUCACUGAAAGGAAGAUGAACAAAUGGUAGCCUACUCUACAAUACUUAAAUUGUUACCCGCUUUGUAAUCCUUGAAUAUAGUUACAGUUUUGUAGAUUAGAAGUUAGUUCAACAACUUUCGGGUUGUAUAUUGGAUAGUUAAUCAAGUUUUGAGAGGUAUUCUAUAGUCCCAAAGAAAUUUUUCAUUUUGACCAAAAAAAAAAAAGGCAAAACCUAAACCUAAAUGAGUAGAGUUUUCAUAGCUCUAAGACCUUCACAUCUGAAAAAUACAGAAGAGCAAAAACGGCGCACAAAAGCUUCUGCUACUUCUUCUUUCAUUUUCUAGAAAAUCACUCAAAAAGAACCCAACAGCUCUUUAACGAUGGAAACACCUUAACAACCUUUCUUCUUCUUCACUUGGCAGCCAUUUUCUGGCUCUCCAUCUUCACAAAAGAAGACCCAAAUCUGAAAAUCCCAUCUCUAAAAGAAAAGAAAAGAAAUAUUCGGAAAAACCUCCUCCUUCUCACGCAAGAAGGUAGCCAAGAAUCUACUGAUCUCCACACACACGAAUACAUCACUCUCUCUAAUCUCAUUCACACACAAUUUGCACGCUAGAAGCAUAUAAAUCCGGAAUCAAAUACAGAUCUGAGAAUUGUAAAAGGACUCCAUAAACACGAAAUUAAAAAAAACAGAUAUAAAAAGGAGGUUUCAGAGUUUAAUGGAAUUGUGGAGUUUGGUUCGAAGCUGGGAAGCGCCGUGGAAAUCGUUGUUGUCUGUUGCUGCUUUAAGCCAAGUAUGUUCUGAAUAAGACCAAAAUUUCUUUUUCUGUUUGUGCAUCAAAUUAAAGGUCAGGUUUUUUAUUUUGGUUAUGUUGAGCUUUGUUAAAGUUAAGUGUUAGCGGAAGAGUACUAGUAUUUUAUCAAAUUAUAAAUAUUCUCAACAGUAGUAUAAUAUAUUUUGCCAAUAUCAAUUAAAAUUCAUGUUUCUGCUUUUGGUCAUUGAUCAAAUUAUUUACAACGUAACUUCUUAUAUUUUGGUGUCUUUCUUGAUGUGUUACAUUUUUACUACUUUGCUACUUGGAAUUAUAUCAUUCUAUGUGAAAAUAAUCUUCUCUUUUCACACUCAAGGUGUACAUAAAUAAUCAAGAAGUUAAUCCACUGAAACGGUUGACUUAAUCGAAAUGAUAUUCUUUUUAAAGUUUGUAGUGAUUGAUCAAAUCUGUUGGUUUUAUUCUAGAAUGGAAGUCCAUAAUGUUCUUUUGUAACAAGGUUUAGAAAUUUUGUGUAAAUGUAUUAAUUUACAUGAAUGUUCGGAACAUAAGGUGAUAAGUAGAUAAAUUGAUUUCUUCUUCUUCACUUUAUUUGUUUGAAUAUUUUGAAGGAAGAAUUAUAAGUAAAUAAUUUGUUUAUUCCCAAUUAUGUCUAAGUAGACAAAUUACAGCAAGUUUGAGUGUAAAACUUUGAAGUUGCAGAGUCAAAUGGGUUUAAGGUUACUUGGCCUUUCCAGCCCAGUGAACACAUGUUCACCAACUGGCUUGCAAUGUACUAUAAUUUCAAUUGUGGCGUUACCUCGAGAAAUCCAGUGCCAUAAUGUAUUUAGCGAUCCUACCCAAAAGAUCAAUUAGUCCAAUUCAAUUGGUUUUUGUUGAUUACUCACGCUGAAAUAGUUGCUAUGAUAGCGUCACAAAAAAAUAUCCAAAUGCAUAAAUACCGUAGUCUGCUUUAGAACCGAUUUAGAGUAGUAUUGCGAUUAUGUAUAUAUUCGCAUAAUAUAAUUGCAAAUUUAACUCUAAAAAAAGACUCGAGGGAUGCGUUCGCACAACUUUCAACCAAACUUUCUUGAUAAAUCAACAAAAAAUAUUAUUAAUCGUGGACACGUCCGCGUGACAUGAUUUUAUCGCGCCAAAAGAAAAAAGUAUCCAUAUACGUAACUCAAUUCUUUAAUUACGAAUAAUUCAAGUAAUUUAAAAGCGGUAAAAAUGACUGCACAAAUGUUCUAAAAAUGAGUAGUUAAAUAAUUAACCCAAGUAUAAAUUGCUAAGGGACCGUGCUAGAACCAUGGAACUUGGAAAUACCUAACACCUUCUCCCGGGUUAACAGAAUUUCUUAUCUAAAUGGGAUUUUUUAGCCCAUUUAAAAAUGAGGCUUAUAAGCCCGGCCAAGUCAGCCCGCUGGCUCUUGAGGCUAGAUCGAGGCUGGUCCUGGGCCAGCUCGUGGGCCAAAUAUUAAUUAUAUUAAAAUUUAAGUAUUAAAAAAAGUAAAACUAAAACAAGAUAUUCACUAUUACCCCGUUUUCAAACCUUUGAUUGUUCAUUAACCCUUACAUAUCAACUAGAAUUUAUAUUUUUGAUAUUCAUGUAGUAUGACAAGAUUAGUUUUUAUUUUUUGCUUAAUUAACAAUGAACUAGGAAAGUUUUAAGUGGCCAAUAAUUUUUUUCAAAAGAAAAUAUUAUUUUAAGUGGCCAAUGAUCGAUUUGGUUACUUUAACAUAUCAUUAAUUAUUAAAUUUCUCUACAGUAUUGAAAAGGGUCAAAUUUUAAUACCCAAAAAGUGACAAUACUAGCAAAUAUCAUGAAUUUUAAGAAUUUCAUGGGACUAUAAUGAUGAAAUUGUAAUGACUCGACCAUUCGUUUGAACUCUAGCAUGGCGUUCAGUAGUUUGAGGCCAUGAACAGCUUUAUUUCAGGUGUUUUGACUUGUGCAUGUGGUCAGAAUUGAACUUCAGGAAAUUCAGAGUUGAUUUAGAAAGAAAAUUCUCAUUUCAGAAGUCUCAAGUUGAAAGGAUUAGCUAAGAUCGGAACUUUGAGUAAACAACCCCGGAAUCAUGAUUUGAAGUUUCUAUCAGGUUCGUAUGACGACUUCGUACUUGAGCAUAUGCUCGGAUCGGGUUUUGGAUAACCCGGGAACAUUCUGCUGCCUAUUGAGGAAGCUUGCAUUUUGGAAGAAAUUUCAUAAGCUUGGGUUGAAGAGAAUUUCAGUGAUAUCGAUGUCUGUUUAGGAUUCCGAGUCCACGAGUAGCUCUGUAUGGUAAUUUUUGAAUUGGGAGCGCAAUCGUAAGUGAAUUCGAAAGUCCCUGGGUCAUUUUGGAGUCAUUUGGCUAAAGAUAGAAAUUUGAAGGUUUUUGAGAAGUUUGACCGGAAGUGGACUUUUUGAUAUCGAGGUCGAAUCUGAUUUUGAAAGUUGGAGUAGGUCCGUAAUGUCGAAUAUGACUUGUGAGAAAAAUUUAAGGCCAAUCGGACGUGAUUUGAUAGGUUUAAUCAUCGUUAGUAAAAGCUUGAAGUUCUAAAGUUCAUAAAACUUGGAUUGGAGGUCGAUUCGUGGUUUAGCAUUGUUUGCUAUGAUUUGACGCCUCGAGCAAGUCCAUAAUGUGUUUUGGGACUGAUUGAUAUGAUUGGUUGGGGUCCUGAGGGACUUGGGUGGAUUCUUAUGGUUAACGGAUCAAAAAUGAGAUUCUUGAAAGGGCUGAAGUUGUUGGUUACUAAUAUAACCGCACCUGCGAAAUUCGGACCGCAUAUGCGGAGCCGCAGAAGCGGCCAUAAGAGCCGCAGACGCGUUUUUGGCCAGAAGUAAAGAAACCACAGAUGCAGUCAUGGACCUGUAGAAGCGGGAUAGCACCUGCAGUGGAUGAGGCACAAAAGCGAAAAAAGGGAGCCUGGAGGAAACCACAGAAGCGGUAGAUUGACUCGCACAUGCGGAACCGCAGAAACGAUCAAGGGACCGUAGGUGUGAAAAUGCUGGAGGCAGUUAGGUUCUUUAUAUCGGGGGUUUGGUUCAUUUCAACCCUAUUUUCUUCCAUUGGAGCCGACUUUGGAUCAACUUUGAGGUGUUAUUUUUACCACCAAGCAUGAGGUAAGUAAUUUAUGCUAGUUUUGAGUUAAAUACAUGAUUAUAUACGAAUUUGGACAUGGAAAUUUUUGAAAAAUUUGGGGUUUGAGGGAAAACCUAAAAAAUUGAUAUUCUUGGAAUUUAACAACGAUUUUGGGUAUGGAAUUAAGAGAAAAUCAUAUAUUUAAGUUCGUGAGUUCAUGGGUAAACCUUAUCUUCGAAAUUUUUUAGAAUCUGGUCACGUGGCUCGAGAGCGUUUUUGUCAACUUUUCGAUCGGGGUUAGAAAUUGUUAUAAAUUGGAUUAUAAUGAGUAAUUGAGCAUAUAUUAAUGGCUUUGCAUGAUUAUUGGCUAUAUUUGGAGCAGUUAGCAUCGAUUCGAGUCUUCGGAAAGGCGUGGAAUGCCGGUUAUGGAUCUUCGGAGCGAGAUGAGUCUCCUUUCUAACCUUCUUAGAGGGAAUUGUCCCAAUAGGUGAAAUAAUUAAUUAUGUGCUCCUAUUUGUGGGGGCUAAAUACGCAUGAAGUGACAGGUGUCCGUGCGUAGCUACUAAUAUGUGUAAUUCCGGGUAGUCUAGGACCCAAAAGCAUGAUGUACUUGAAAUAUCUAUGAUCUUAUUUAUAGUUGAAUUUCUUAUAUUCUAUUGGUAAAUAAAUUUCUAAAAGGAUCAAUCUUCAUUUUCUUAAAUUAAUAAAAGAGAAUUGGCUUUUAUUUGGAUAAAUGUUCCCCGAUAAAUUCUUAAUUUACUUUCUGAGCAUAUAUUUGCAUCCUAUUUAAGGUCCACGAGCAAGAUAAUUGCUUAUUUAAUUUUUGACCGCGUCGCAUGUAUGGUUCACGAGCGGGGUAAUAGGUGUAUCUAUGGUUCGCACCGUUCGACCUCGACAGUGCACAUUUUAUAUUUAUGUUGGAUCGGGUCGUACGACCUCGGCAUGAAUUGCGCAUGUUUGUACUGCUUUUCUUGAGAUUUAUUGAUAUUGAUAUCUACUCUCCCCGACUUGGGAUAAUUGUUAAUUAAUGGAUUGUGAAUCCGUAGACUUUUAAUAAAAGGAACUUUUACCUGUUUCGUGACUUAUCUGAAUUUACUGUUAAUAAUAAAACUAUGAUUCUUUGCAUUAAUAAUGUUAUUAUUGGACCAUUAGUAAGUGUCGAAGUCCAUCUCUCAUCUCUACUUCUUCGAGAUUAGACGGGAUACUCAUUGGAUACACGUUGUUUUCGUACUCAUACUACACUUGCUAUGCAUUUUUGUUGCAUAGGUUUAUAUGUGGCUAGUGCUUAGUGGCAUAGCAACAUGGUUGAUGCAAAGACUUAGGUGAGCUGCACUUCUCGGGACGACCCGCAGACAAUAGAGUCUCC
rnacentral:lncRNA from 1 species